AUAUUUACCUGGCUGGAGAGAUACCUUGAUCAGGAAGGAAGAUUCCAUGAUCAGGAUGAGGCCCAGGCAUUACAUCCUAGAUGUGCAGACACCUGCAAUUUCCCCCAAUAUUGGAAACUUGACUGCAUAAUUUGUGAUAGUGGGGGACUGUAUCCAUGCUCUCCCCUG